GAAUGAAGUAGAUUUGAAGGCAUAUGCGCGGUGAGUGUCCAUUGGGCGUUUGCGCAGUCUCGUCUGGCAGUUGGUAGAAGCCGCUUGUAAUGUGUAAACAAGGGUAUUACAUCCAGUCAAUAUUCAGUCGUUCAUGAAACGCCCAAGGGAUUCACCGACAUAGUGUGAGGAGGAAGUUACAAGCUGCUGCAGGCUCCCAGUGGACACAGUGAAAGUGACGACAAAAUACAGUACGAUUACGUCCAUUUAUUGAGCGAGAUGGGCAAUAAUUCAGUUAAGCUGGCGGAGACAGUGGCGGCGGCGGUGGCAUAGAGUGAAGCGGCGGGCAAAGACGCCCCAGCGCAGCAAGGAGCCGCUGGUUGUAAGAGAGGGAUACCCGUAAAUGCGUGCAAAAGAUUGGCAUAUUCCUUGAAAGUUUCUUGUCCUCUUCUUAGUACUUCAUAAUGCAUUUACAAUAAUAUUCAUGAAGAAAAUUAUUUUUGUAUAAAAAUUCCUUGUUUUAUAAUUCAAUCGAGAAAUUAUUACUACGGAUCGACAUCUUAUAUUUUUUCCAUUAGGGUGUAGAUAUGUAAACAAGUUUCUGUUCUUAUAUGUUUUUUUUUUUUCUUUCAGUCUUCCACGUAGUGUACCUAAUACGUACAUUACAUCAUCUACAAUCGCUUCUUUACGUGAUUAUAAUUUUUAUUCGUUAUUGCUGCAGACGCGCAUAAGGUGUUGUUUGUUUAUUGUGCCUGUGGGGUGUAGGAGUGUGGGACAAAAAUGUAGAAGAGAUAGAAAAAGCAGAGAAAGAGAAGAAUAUUGUUUUCGUCUGUAUUUUAAUUAGAACACUGCUUUUAACAAUCACGCACGAAAUAUAACACUACAAG